rnacentral:rRNA from 1 species
GUGGGGAAUUUUGGACAAUGGGCGCAAGCCUGAUCCAGCAAUGCCGCGUGCAGGAAGAAGGCCUUCGGGUUGUAAACUGCUUUUGUACGGAACGAAACGGUCCGGGUUAAUACCCUGGGCUAAUGACGGUACCGUAAGAAUAAGCACCGGCUAACUACGUGCCAGCAGCCGCGGUAAUACGGAGGGUGCGAGCGUUGUCCGGAUUUAUUGGGUUUAAAGGGUGCGUAGGCGGUUUUAUAAGUCAGCGGUGAAAUUUUCCGGCUCAACCGGGAUACUGCCGUUGAUACUGUAAGGCUAGGAUAUGGUUGCUGUGGGUGGAAUGUGUGGUGUAGCGGUGAAAUGCUUAGAGAUCACACAGAAUAUCGAUUGCGAAGGCAGCACACAAAGCCAUUAUUGACGCUGAGGCACGAAAGUGUGGGGAUCAAACAGGAUUAGAUACCCGUGUAGUCC